rnacentral:rRNA from 1 species
GACGAACGCUGGCGGCGUGCCUAAUACAUGCAAGUUGAGCGCCGAAGGAUGGUGCUCGUACCAACUGGGUGAGCGGCGGACGGGCGAGUAAGGAGUGGGGAAUCAGCCUCUGAGCGGGGGACGACAACUGGAAAAGAAUGAUAAUAACGCAUAAAAACACUAAACACAAGAUUCAAGUUUGAAAGAUACAUUUGCCUCACUAAAAGAUGAUUCCGCGUUGUAUUAGUUAGUUGGUGAGGUAAAGGCAAACCAAGGGGAAGAUACAUAGCCGGCCUGAGAGGGUGGACGGCCACAUUUGGACUGGAGCACGGCCCAAACCCCUGCGGGAGGGAGCAGGAGGGAAACUUUGGCCAUUGACCAAAGUCUGACCGAGCACCUCCGCGGUAGUGAAGAAGGGUUUCGGAUCGUAAAACUCUUUUUGUAGAGAAGAACGUUGGUGAGAGUGAAAAGCUCAUCAAGUGACGGUAACUACCCAGAAAGGGACGGCUAACUACGUG